rnacentral:rRNA from 1 species
AUGCAAGAAAAACGAGCUAUUGCAUAUUUUAGUGAAAAACUCUCUGGUGCUCAACUUAAUUAUCCCACAUAUGACAAAGAAUUGUAUGCUUUAGUGCGUGUGCUACAUGUUUGGGAGCAUUACCUUAGACCUCAUGAGUUUGUCAUACAUACCGAUCAUGAAACGCUUAAGUACUUAAAAGGCCAAACUAAGUUGAACAAGCAUCAUGCCAAAUGGAGUGAAUUUAUUGAGUCUUUCCCCUAUGUGAUCAAGUACAUCAAGGGUAAGGAAAAUGUAGUUGCGGAUGCCCUUUCACGCAUAUGCACGCUUGUCACUAAACUUGAGUUGAAUGUUAUUGGCUUUGAGCACAUAAAAGACUUGUAUGCGAAUGAUAUUUCUUUUGCUACUCCUUAUGCUAAGUGUUUGACGCAUACAUAUUGGGAACGAUAUUACAUCAAGGAUGAUUAUCUUAUGAGAGCUAACAAACUUUGCAUUCCGAGUCUUCUCUUCGUUUGCUCCUUUUGCAAGAGGCUCAUGGAGGCGAACUCAUGGGACACUUUGGACGCGACAAGACAUUCGCCACGCUCUCCAAGAACUACUUUUGGCCCAAGAUGUUCCGCGACGUCUCACGCUUCACCAACCGAUGCUCUACAUGUCGUAAAGCUAAGUCUAAAGCUCAAUCCCAUGGUCUUUACAUGCCCCUUCCUAUUCCUUAUCAGCCUUGGGAAGACAUUAGCAUGGAUUUUGUACUUGGUUUGCCUAGAACUCAAAAUGGCAAGGAUUCCGUGUUUGUUGUUGUGGACCGAUUUUCUAAGAUGGCACAUUUCAUUCCUUGCAACAAGAUAG